AAUGAAGGCAUCAGUUGCCUGUGAUCUCUAAGAGCCCAGUUCAGCAGGAGCUCAGAGCUUAGUCUGUCUUCUGUGUUUGCUGAUACUCAACACUGCAGAUUGCCAAGGGACUCACUGGUAUGAGAUUAUCCAUUAGAGGAAAACUAGAGAGGAGAUUGUUCUGGAAUACAGACUGCUUCUAAAUGCUCCUGAGUGGCGUCGAAAUGGGGGGACCAGCCUCAAUGAUGUGCCUAAGGACUUGCUAUAUAGAAGACUGUAAACCAUUCCAUUUCACUGGAAACCCACCUGACCUGGGACAAUCCCAUCUCUCCAGGAACUGCUCUUACUCUCACAUGACAAUGAAGCAAAAGCGGUCGAAUAGUAUUAGCAUAUGUAUCUUGCCCAUCAUCCCAGAGUAUCCAGGUUUCCAAGACAUUAAGUUAUCAAGAAAUUAUCCUGAAACUCGAGGCUUCAACCGGCUUUUCCAGGAUUGGGAAAGAGGAAAGAGCUCUUCCUCACAGCUGAAUGAUUUUCCAAACACAGCUUCGUUAGCCCAUUGCUUGGGGGGCCCCUCAAGAGGCUACAUGAAGGGCCAACUGGCACACAGCAGUGGCUUCCACGACAAACCCUUGCAAGAGUACUUCAAUGAGAGGCUGAUGGAGCUCAGGAACUAUGAAAGUAAGAGGUCCAAUAGGAAGACAAAGGGAUUUCCAGACAAGAACCAAAACCCCUUCCUCACCCACAGAGGAUCUCGGCGCAGAAGUAGUUGCAGUGCUGUGGUAAUGGUUGGGUAUAAGGAGACAGAAGAAUCCUGCAGCUCAGCAAAUCAAGAAAACAGAAAAGGGACAGAACACAGUGCUCAAAAGGGAACCCAGAAUGUCCUGGACCUCUACAAGGGUGACUUUUUGGACAUUUUAACAAUGCACAUCGCUGCUCCUCUAGAAGCAUUUGUGCAAAAAAAGUAAUGCUGGAGCUGUUUACAGCCAGUCCUGCAGUCCUCCAAGUGAAGAAUCGUUCCUGUUCAGUCCUGUCGUGACUUAGUAGUUCAUGUGUGUUAGUUCAUUCUAAUGCAGAAAUAUGUUUGUGGGACAAUGUUCUUCACUGACAGGGCAUACCUUUGUUUUUGAUUAUUUUCCUCUAAGAGUCAGUAAAAAUAAGGGAUACUCUUGAAUUACCAUACACAGAGAGCGCUGUUCUAAAUGCACACAUUACUUGAAUCCUUAAGUUGCCUUAAAAAAGAGUGAUUAGUUUCAGUGGAGCAGUGUGGUUUCCCAUUGGUAGCACGUAGUUUCCAUUAGCUAAUCUGAAGAAACAAUAUUGUGUCCUGCCAAGUUACUUUGCUUGUUUUAAGCUUUCUUGUUUUUUUAACUUAUCACUUUGACCCAUUCAAUCUAUGCUAUGUUUUGCAUGGAUGUGAACUACUUGAUAAGAAAUGUUUGAUUUUGUCUUGUUGCCACAUGUUAUAAUCACCAGGAAGAUCCUUGUAACAGUGUCUGACACUUGAAGAACACCGAUGUAAGCUUCAUUUUUAAAUCUGAUCACCACUGUGGUUUCAUGUGCAUACUCACAAACCUUUGACUUAAAAAGCACUGCAAGUGCAAAGAGGAAGGAAUGCUGCGUUUUAGUGAGAAUUAGGGAUGUAAUUAUGUAGGUAGGAUCUGUCCCACUUUCCUGUUGUAAAUGUGAGGUCAAUAUGGCAAAUUCUUAAUGCAAUCUGAGUUUCAAAUUGUUUAUUGUGUAUAAACUUUGUGUUUAUAGUGGUCAUCUAAGUAUACAAUGUCAGCUGCAGACAGAUUUUUCUACUACAUAGAAUGUCAAUGUUUAGUUCUACAGAGCAUUGAAUAUCAGGCCCAAAGCUGGGCAACUAGUUUAAGCUUCCAAAAAGCACUAUUGCCUGUAGUAUUAUUAGCAAUAAAGUCAUCAUUACAGUGCUAGUU
rnacentral:lncRNA from 7 species